GAUGAACGCUGGCGGCGUGCCUAAUACAUGCAAGUCGAGCGAACAGACGAGGAGCUUGCUCCUCUGACGUUAGCGGCGGACGGGUGAGUAACACGUGGAUAACCUAGCUAUAAGACUGGGAUAACUUCGGGAAACCGGAGCUAAUACCGGAUAAUAUAUUGAACCGCAUGGUUCAAUAGUGAAAGACGGUUUUGCUGUCACUUAUAGAUGGAUCCGCGCCGCAUUAGCUAGUUGGUAAGGUAACGGCUUGCCAAGGCAACGAUGCGUAGCCGACCUGAGAGGGUGAUCGGCCACACUGGAACUGAGACACGGUCCAGACUCCUACGGGAGGCAGCAGUAGGGAAUCUUCCGCAAUGGGCGAAAGCCUGACGGAGCAACGCCGCGUGAGUGAUGAAGGUCUUCGGAUCGUAAAACUCUGUUAUUAGGGAAGAACAAAUGUGUAAGUAACUAUGCACGUCUUGACGGUACCUAAUCAGAAAGCCACGGCUAACUACGUG
rnacentral:rRNA from 1 species